UGACAUCACAAAGGCCUAAAGCACAGGAGACCCGCCUCCUCCGAUCUUGACUCAAGGGUGAUUCCCUGGGGCCCAAAAUGACCAUGCCAUCCAGGAGGGUGCAGAGGCCGCUCUGAAGAUUCCGGAGAGGCUGAAUGACAUGAGACUUCACGGAGUUAAGUGACAGUCUACGUGCCUGGCCUUGAGGGAUGGCCAGCCAGAGGCCCAGCCGACCCACCUGCAUCAGGGCAGCGUUCAGUGCAGCUGGCUUUCGGAAGUGGCAGAGACACUCGCGCCAUCGCCUUCAGGUCAGCUCCAGAAGGAACCUCAUGGACUUUGCUGAAGGCAUCUGGAGAGAGUUUUUAGAUCCUUAUGAUGGUGACUCGGAAGACACCCCAGGUCAUUCCAACUACCGCAGUUACCGCCAGUGUGCCUACCGCCUCCUGGGUGACAGGAACCGCAACUCGCCUUCCCACACACUGCGGUCCAGGGCUGCUGAGGAGGCCAGCACGGAAGACUCACCCCCAAAGGCUCCAGACCUCACCAUGAGAGCUUCUGGCUGGGCCCCUAUAACCCUCGAGGUCGAUGAUGUCGACAUGCAGCCUGAGGGUGAACUAAAGACACUGGGCCCCCAAGAAACAAAUGGGCGUCCUGGCAGGCUGUCCCCAUCACCAGAGGACUGGAGGAUGACAAGGGCUGCCAGCCCCCUCAUUCCUGUGGAGACCCCAGAGAUAGGCAGACACCUGCUGAGUAGAGCCAGAGCCACCCGGCCACCUCCCAGACUCGGGAGUGAGAGAGAUAAGGGGCCCAGGCUGUCGCUUUCCAAGAGAAAACUGGAGCUCCUACUUGGAGAGCCUGAGAGAAUUAAGAGGAAGAAGAAGUACGUGGCCCAGCCCAGGGGCCCAAGUUAGCUCAGGGUAACGAAGCUGAACACAAGUCUGGUGCUGCUGAGGCCUGGGUCUCCUCUCCAGGUUUCACAGACAGGCCAGUCUGAGAGCUCACCUGUGACUCCAAAGCUGCAGGCAUCAAGGGUGGCACUCUGGGAGGCGGUGACAUUGACUUCGAGGCAGAGUUCCUCCAGAGACCAGCUAUUGGCUUGCGCCACAUACUGUCUGGUGGCAGUGAUGUAGGCUUCAGGCACAAACAGGCCACCCAGGCACACAUGGAUGUUCUGUAGAAACAGCCCCAUGGAAAGGAGAGCAGGUCAGGAACAAGUCCACCCAAGGCCAGGACAAGCAGUGCCACCCCUGACCCAAUACCCCCACUCCUGACCCGAUAUACCCCCCACCCCCAUGCAUGCCCACCCCUGACCCGAUAUCCCUCCACCCCCAUGCAUGCCUACCUUCAGUUCCUUGGCUCCACCAGAUGCAGCCGCUUGUGAGAUGUUCUGCAGCUGUUUGAUCCUCUCGCUGAAAUCUGACACCCACUGGAUCACUGUCAUGCCUGCAGGCACUGUGUAAUGGGACCAGCUCCGAGGCAAGAUCCCUGCAGCAAGGAAGAGAGCCGCAGGCCUCAGCAGACGUGGCUCAGGCUGCCAGCACCUGCACACCACAGCCCUCUUUCCUGGCUGCACCUGGUGUUCUGUCUACAACCAGGAAGGCCCAGGGCACUGCUGUCUCAGUAGUGUGGGGUGCAUGCUUAGAGGCAUGCUGCUGCUGCUGCUGCUGCUGCUGCGAGCACACAGUCUCUGGACGGGGCCCCCUAUCCCACUCUGUCCUCUUCACUGCACUAACCCUAAAAGGUCACAGGAACUGCACAAAAACUUUGGGGAAACCACAGGCAUUUCUAAGAUCCUCCCACUACUGAGGAAUCCUGAAAGAGACGUGUGUGGCCUGGGCCUGCACAUGGGGUAUGGACGGCGGACGGCAGCACAGACAAUGGUCAGGACUCUGUGCCAAGCCUGCAGCUGCAUGCCGGUCUGCACCUUUCACCAGCUCGUUGAUGAGUGUCCGCAGGUAGUUGGUCUGCUUCUUUUUCCCCUCACACACUUGAACGACGUCAGCAAGAUCUUGGCGCACAUCUUGGAGUAACUUAGCCCCCAUCUUCACUUCUCUCUCAAAGAACCUAAACAAAGGAUCCUAAAACCAAAGAGAAGAGGGCUAGAGACGGAUCUGUGCAGAGGCAAGGCACAUCCAGAAGGAUCAUCAGGACCUUUGACCUUUUUGGGAGCUGGCCAGAUAGAAUAAUCAUCUCUGCCCCGAGCUCUCAGACCACAGUUUUCAAACAGUUUAAUUAAAAGUGGUGUCUGUCGUUCUUGCU